GGAAAGCCUGCUAUGCAGGAGGUUUUGGUAUCUUCCCUUGGCCUUGCAGCUUAAAAAAACAGAUUUCAUCAUACUCCAUUGUUGAUUCUGGGACUGUAUUUUACAUAAAGUGAGAAUAUAUAGGGAUUUAGAACUUUAUCCAGAAUAAUUUGAAAUAAAACUUCAGUCAACAACAUUUAUAAGGUGGAACAGAGAGCAGUGAUCAUUAAAGUCUCUGGAAAGAAACACAGAUAAUAACUAGUUUUUCUAUGGAUAAACAGUGAGUGAUAAUGAGAUGGACACGCAGUUGUUGCAUAAGAUAUUUUAGAUGGCUACGUCAUGUUGGAGUGGG